rnacentral:tRNA from 1 species
AGAUAAGUAGUUGAUUAUUAGCCCUAUACAUAUCUUAAAACGCAACAGAGGUACUUAAAUCAAAGGACUGAAAAUCCUUGUGUCGGCGGUUCGAUUCCGUCCAUCACCACCA